UGAAUACGAGAUGCUACGGCGUCGAAGCAGUCUAUGUCAUACUUCCAAGAAAAGCUCGCACUGUCAUAAACAAAUAAUGCCUGUACCAUAACCGACACAGGUGGGUAGGUAGAGUAUACUAAGGGGCGCGAGAUAACUCCCUCUAAGGAACUCGGCAAAAUGACUCCGUAACUUCGGGAGAAGGAGUGCCUUAUUUAUAAGGUUGCAAUAACAAGAUCCAAGCAACUGUUUAUCAAAAACACAGGUCUCCGCUAAGUCGUAAGACGAUGUAUGGGGGCUGACGCCUGCCCAGUGCCAGAAGGUUAAAGAAGUUGGUUAGCAUUCGCGAAGCUGAUAACUGAAGCCCUGGUGAACGGCGGCCGUAACGAUAACGGUCCUAAGGUAGCGAAAUUCCUUGUCGGGUAAGUUCCGACCCGCACGAAAGGCGUAAUGAUUUGGAUACUGUCUCGGAGAGGGGCUCGGUGAAAUAGACUUGUCUGUGAAGAUGCGGACUACCUGCACCAGGACAGAAAGACCCUAUGAAGCUUUACUGUAACUUGAGAUUGAAAUUGGACUUUACUUGCGCAGUAUAGGUGGGAGGCGUUGAUAAUAUUCUUGCGGGAUUAUUUGAGCCAUCAGUGAGAUACCACACUUGUAAUGUUAGAUUUCUAACUUUGUAUCAUUAUCUGGUCAAAGGACAGUUUCAGGCGGGCAGUUUGACUGGGGCGGUCGCCUCCUAAACGGUAACGGAGGCGCACAAAGGUUUCCUCUGAACGGGUAGAAAUCGUAUCUAGAGUGUAAAGGCAUAAGGAAGCUUGACUGUGAGACCUACAAGUCGAGCAGGGACGAAAGUCGGUCUUAGUGAUCUGACGGUGCUGAGUGGAAAGGCCGUCACUCAACGGAUAAAAGUUACUCUAGGAUAACAGGCUGAUCUCCCCCAAGAGUUCACAUCGACGGGGAGGUUUGGCACCUCGAUGUCGGCUCAUCGCAUCCUGGGGCGGUAGUACGUCCCAAGGGUUGGGCUGUUCGCCCAUGAAAGCGGUACGCGAGCUGGGUUCAGAACGUCGUGAGACAGUUCGGUCCAUAUCCGGUGUAGGCGUUAGAAUAUUGAGAGGAGCCUUCUUUAGUACGAGAGGACCGAGAAGGACAUACCUCUGGUGUACCAGUUAUCGUGCCAACGGUAAACGCUGGGUAGUUAUGUAUGGAGUGGAUGACCGCUGAAAGCAUCUAAGUGGGAAGCCCACCUCAAGAUAAG
rnacentral:rRNA from 1 species